rfam:Morus notabilis contig14471, whole genome shotgun sequence.
AGGUGAAUUACAGGGCAAAAUCUCCAUUGGCAGGAAGAUUAGUCAUUGUACACUGGUUGGCGCACCACAUUUUCCUAUCUGCACCUCCUGCCAAAGGAGAUUUGCCCAGCAAUUCUCCU